rnacentral:rRNA from 1 species
UACGUAGGGGGCAAGCGUUGUCCGGAAUCAUUGGGCGUAAAGAGCGUGUAGGCGGCCCGGUAAGUCCGCUGUGAAAGUCGGGGGCUCAACCCUCGAAUGCCGGUGGAUACUGUCGGGCUAGAGUGCGGAAGAGGCGAGUGGAAUUCUUGGUGUAGCGGUGAAAUGCGUAGAGAUCGGGAGGAACACCAGAGGCGAAGGCGGCGACCUGGACAGAAACUGACACUCAACUACGAAAGCGUGGGUAGCAAACAGG